UUCUCUCAGGGUCAGUGGACCCAAGUGUGAUCCAUCUGAGGCAGAGUCAGUCUGCCGGUUCAGUUCAGGUGUCAACUGAGGGUAGAAUCCAUCCACCCGAUUUUGAGGUCUUGGACUUAAAUGUUCAGACGUCACUCUCGGAAUGGAUUGGGUUUCUACUUGUGGUGCUAUCUUGGUCCGUAGAGACUAGGUGGCCAGGUUCAGAGGACAGGAUGGGUCAGAGGUAGUCUUUUGAGGGGACAGUGUAGGUUGCCUAGAAGUUUGAUGUCAGCCUGUCAGGCUCAUAGGGUGCGUAGGAGGGGUUGUCAGAGGGUUCUAGUUCUUGCUGGAGAGUUAGUAGUUGGGUCGGGAACCAUCCUCAGUGAUAGUAGUAGUUAGAGAGUUCUUAGAUGUCUGCCUAGACGAGCUGUCAGGUUUACCAUCUGUUAGGGAGUUAGAGCUUGGAAUAGGAGUGGUGUCUGGACCCAGAACCAUUUCUAUCCUUCCCUACAGGUUGGCACCUGCAGAGUUUUGAGUUGGAGGAGCAACUGCAGGAGUUAGUAUAUGGGAGUUUCAUCCGACCUAGUCACUCUCCUUGGGGUGUUCUAGUGCCGGUUUUUGUGGAAAAGAAGGAUGGAUCCUUGCGGAUCAGAAGAGAAGAUCAGAGUAGCGCA
rnacentral:lncRNA from 1 species